CUUUACUGUAGCUUGGAAUUGGGUUCGGGCUUUGCUUGCGCAGGAUAGGUGGGAGACUAUGAAGCAAUCCUUGUGGGGAUUGUGGAGUCAACAGUGAGAUACCACUCUGUCAGAGCUAGAAUUCUAACCUUCACCCGUUAUCCGGGGAAGGAACCGUAUCAGGCGGGCAGUUUGACUGGGGCGGUCGCCUCCUAAAUGGUAACGGAGGCGCGCAAAGGUGUUCUCAGGCUGGUUGGAAAUCAGCCGCAGAGUGUAAAGGCAGAAGAACGCUUGACUGUGAGAGUGACAACUCGAGCAGGGUGGAAACACGGCCUUAGUGAUCCGACGGCUUGUGCGUGGAAAUGCCGUCGCUCAACGGAUAAAAGUUA
rnacentral:rRNA from 1 species